AACGAACGCUGGCGGCAGGCUUAACACAUGCAAGUCGAGCGCCCCGCAAGGGGAGCGGCAGACGGGUGAGUAACGCGUGGGAACGUACCCUUUGCUACGGAAUAGCUCCGGGAAACUGGAAUUAAUACCGUAUGUGCCCUACGGGGGAAAGAUUUAUCGGCAAAGGAUCGGCCCGCGUUGGAUUAGCUAGUUGGUGGGGUAAUGGCCUACCAAGGCGACGAUCCAUAGCUGGUCUGAGAGGAUGAUCAGCCACAUUGGGACUGAGACACGGCCAAAACUCCUACGGGAGGCAGCAGUGGGGAAUAUUGGACAAUGGGCGCAAGCCUGAUCCAGCCAUGCCGCGUGAGUGAUGAAGGCCUUAGGGUUGUAAAGCUCUCUCACCGGAGAAGAUAAUGACGGUAUCCGGAGAAGAAGCCCCGGCUAACUUCGUGCCAGCCGCCGCCGUAAUAC
rnacentral:rRNA from 1 species